rnacentral:rRNA from 1 species
CUACGGGACGCUGCAGUGAAGAAUAUUGCACAAUGGGGGGAACCCUGAUGCAGCAACGCCGCGUGGAGGAUGACGCAUUUCGGUGUGUAAACUCCUUUUAUAUGUCAAGAAAAUGACGGUAGCAUAUGAAUAAGCACCGGCUAACUCCGUGCCAGCAGCCGCGGUAAUACGGAGGGUGCAAGCGUUACUCGGAAUCACUGGGCGUAAAGGACGCGUAGGCGGGCUUGUAAGUCAGGUGUGAAAUCCUACAGCUUAACUGUAGAACUGCACUUGAAACUACGAGCCUAGAGUAUGGGAGGGGCAGAUGGAAUUAGUGGUGUAGGGGUAAUGUCCGUAGAUAUCACUAGGAAUACCUAAAGCGAAGGCGAUCUGCUGGAACAUAACUGACGCUAAGGCGUGAAAGCGUGGGGAGCAAACAGGAUUAGAUACCCCCGUAGUC